AAUACUCGGGGGAUCUUGUGAAAAUGCAGAUUCUGAUUCAGGGUGUUUGACAUGUGGCCUGAGAUUCUGCAUUUCUAACUAGCUCCCAGGUAAUGCCAG
rnacentral:pre_miRNA from 1 species